AGGGAGGGCAUACUACCCUGAAUGCUCCUGAUCUGGGAAGCUAAGCAGGGUCGGGCCUGGUUAGUACUUGAAUGGGAUGUUGCUUUUUUUU
rnacentral:rRNA from 1 species